rnacentral:tRNA from 1 species
UAUGUUAUAGUUUAAAAAAAAAUAUUAAAUUGCAAAUUUAAAGAUAUUUAUAAAAAAUUAAUAUAU